AAAUUGAAGAGUUUGAUCAUGGCUCAGAUUGAACGCUGGCGGCAGGCCUAACACAUGCAAGUCGAGCGGUAGCACAGAGAGCUUGCUCUCGGGUGACGAGCGGCGGACGGGUGAGUAAUGUCUGGGAAACUGCCUGAUGGAGGGGGAUAACUACUGGAAACGGUAGCUAAUACCGCAUAAUGUCGCAAGACCAAAGUGGGGGACCUUCGGGCCUCAUGCCAUCAGAUGUGCCCAGAUGGGAUUAGCUAGUAGGUGGGGUAACGGCUCACCUAGGCGACGAUCCCUAGCUGGUCUGAGAGGAUGACCAGCCACACUGGAACUGAGACACGGUCCAGACUCCUACGGGAGGCAGCAGUGGGGAAUAUUGCACAAUGGGCGCAAGCCUGAUGCAGCCAUGCCGCGUGUGUGAAGAAGGCCUUCGGGUUGUAAAGCACUUUCAGCGGGGAGGAAGGCGUUAAGGUUAAUAACCUUGGCGAUUGACGUUACCCGCAGAAGAAGCACCGGCUAACUCCGUGCCAGCAGCCGCGGUAAUACGGAGGGUGCAAGCGUUAAUCGGAAUUACUGGGCGUAAAGCGCACGCAGGCGGUCUGUCAAGUCGGAUGUGAAAUCCCCGGGCUUAACCUGGGAACUGCAUUCGAAACUGGCAGGCUAGAGUCUUGUAGAGGGGGGUAGAAUUCCAGGUGUAGCGGUGAAAUGCGUAGAGAUCUGGAGGAAUACCGGUGGCGAAGGCGGCCCCCUGGACAAAGACUGACGCUCAGGUGCGAAAGCGUGGGGAGCAAACAGGAUUAGAUACCCUGGUAGUCCACGCCGUAAACGAUGUCGAUUUGGAGGUUGUGCCCUUGAGGCGUGGCUUCCGGAGCUAACGCGUUAAAUCGACCGCCUGGGGAGUACGGCCGCAAGGUUAAAACUCAAAUGAAUUGACGGGGGCCCGCACAAGCGGUGGAGCAUGUGGUUUAAUUCGAUGCAACGCGAAGAACCUUACCUGGUCUUGACAUCCACAGAACUUUCCAGAGAUGGAUUGGUGCCUUCGGGAACUGUGAGACAGGUGCUGCAUGGCUGUCGUCAGCUCGUGUUGUGAAAUGUUGGGUUAAGUCCCGCAACGAGCGCAACCCUUAUCCUUUGUUGCCAGCGGUCUGGCCGGGAACUCAAAGGAGACUGCCAGUGAUAAACUGGAGGAAGGUGGGGAUGACGUCAAGUCAUCAUGGCCCUUACGACCAGGGCUACACACGUGCUACAAUGGCAUAUACAAAGAGAAGCGACCUCGCGAGAGCAAGCGGACCUCAUAAAGUAUGUCGUAGUCCGGAUUGGAGUCUGCAACUCGACUCCAUGAAGUCGGAAUCGCUAGUAAUCGUAGAUCAGAAUGCUACGGUGAAUACGUUCCCGGGCCUUGUACACACCGCCCGUCACACCAUGGGAGUGGGUUGCAAAAGAAGUAGGUAGCUUAACCUUCGGGAGGGCGCUUACCACUUUGUGAUUCAUGACUGGGGUGAAGUCGUAACAAGGUAACCGUAGGGGAACCUGCGGUUGGAUCACCUCCUUACCUUAAAGAA
rnacentral:rRNA from 1 species